rnacentral:rRNA from 1 species
UACGGGGGUGGCAAGCGUUACUCGGAUUCAUUGGGUGUAAAGGGCAGGUAGGUGGCCUGACAAGUGGAUGGUGAAAUCCCGUUGCUCAACAGCGGAACUGCCUUCCAAACUAUCGGGCUUGAGAUUGGGAGAGGAGAAUGGAAUUCCCGGUGUAAGGGUGAAAUCUGUAGAUAUCGGGAAGAACACCAGUGGCGAAAGCGAUUCUCUGGUCCAAUUCUGACACUGAGCUGCGAAAGCUAGGGGAG